AGUGAACGCUGGCGGCAUGCCUAAUACAUGCAAGUCGAACGGCCGCACAGUAAGCGUUCGCCUCUACCGGUGGCGAGGGACGGACGGGUGACGAAUGCAUCGCAUACCUCUUUUUCGUGGGUGACUACGUAGGGACACUUAUGCUAAUACCGCAUACGUCCUACGGCUGAAUUCAGUGGUUCUUCGCACUUUUCCCGUCUCUAUGAGCCGAUGUCGGAUUAGCUAGUUGGCGUGGUAAAGUCCCACCAAGGCGACGAUCCGUAGCUGGUCUGAGAGGAUGAUCGGCCACACUGGAACUGAGACACGGUCCAGACUCCUACGGGAGGCAGCAGUAGGGAAUAUUGCGCAAUGGGCGCAAGCCUGAUCCAGCCACGCCGCGUGAGUGAAGAAGGCCUUCGGGUUGUAAAGCCCUUUUAUUGGGAAAGAAAAGCAGCGUAUUAAUACCCCGCUGUUCUGACGGUACCCAAAGAGUAAGCACCGGCUAACUUCGUG
rnacentral:rRNA from 1 species